GGACCGGUAGCUCAGCUGGCAGAGCAGCGGACUCUUAAUCCGAAGGUCCGGGGUUCGAAACCCCGCCGGUCCACCA
rnacentral:tRNA from 1 species